UUUGUGCGACGCAGCUAACGCAUUAAGCGCCCCGCCUGGGGAGUACGAUCGCAAGAUUAAAACUCAAAGGAAUUGACGGGGCCCCGCACAAGCAGCGGAGCAUGCGGCUUAAUUCGACGCAACGCGAAGAACCUUACCAAGGCUUGACAUAUACAGGAAUACGGCAGAGAUGUCGUAGCGGUUAAACGUCUGUAUACAGGUGGUGCAUGGUUGUCGUCAGCUCGUGUCGUGAGAUGUUGGGUUAAGUCCCGCAACGAGCGCAACCCUCGUUCUGUGUUGCCAGCAUUUAGUUGGGGACUCACAGGAGACUGCCGGGGUUAACUCGGAGGAAGGUGGGGAUGACGUCAAAUCAUCAUGCCCCUUAUGUCUUGGGCUGCACGCAUGCUACAAUGGCUGGUACAAAGGGCUGCAAUACUGCAAAGUGGAGCGAAUCCCAAAAAGCCAGUCUCAGUUCGGAUUGGGGUCUGCAACUCGACCCCAUGAAGUCGGAGUUGCUAGUAAUCGUAGAUCAGCAACGCUACGGUGAAUACGUUCCCGGGGCUUGUACACACCGCCCGUCACAUCACGAAAGUCGGUAACACCCGAAGUCAGUGGCCCAACCGCAAGGAGGGAGCUGCCGAAGGUGGGAUCGGUGAUUGGGAUGAAGUCGUAACAAGGUAACCAAU
rnacentral:rRNA from 1 species